rnacentral:rRNA from 1 species
AACGAACGCUGGCGGCAGGCCUAACACAUGCAAGUCGAACGAAGGCCCGGAGCUUGCUCCGGUGUCCUUAGUGGCGCACGGGUGAGUAACGCGUGGGAACCAACCUUGGAGCGGGGAAUAACUAGCUGAAAGGUUAGCUAAUGCCGCAUACGACCUACGGGUGAAAGCAGGGGAUCUUCGGACCUUGCGUUAUUAGAGCGGCCGAUAUCUGAUUAGCUUGUUGGUGGGGUAAUGGCCUACCAAGGCGACGAUCAGUAGCUGGUCUGAGAGGACGAUCAGCCACACUGGAACUGAGACACGGUCCAG